GCCGGGUGUGGUGGCGCGCACCUAUAAUCCCAGCAGCUCAGGAGGCUGAGACAGGAGGAUCGCAAGUUCAAAGCCAGCCUCAGCAUCUUAGCAAGGCGCUAAGCAACUCAGUGAGACUCUGUCUCUA
rnacentral:sRNA from 1 species